rnacentral:rRNA from 1 species
GACGAACCGUACAAACGUUAUUCGGAAUCACUGGGCUUAAAGGGUGCGUAGGCGGAUCGGUAAGUAUCUUGUGAAAUCCCACAGCUUAACUGUGGAACUGCUUGGUAUACUGCCAGUCUUGAGCCAGCUAGGGGCUACCGGAACAAAUGGUGGAGCGGUGAAAUGCGUAGAUAUCAUUUGGAACGCCAAUGGUGAAAACAGGUAGCUGGGGCUGUGCUGACGCUGAGACACGAAAGCCAGGGGAGCAAACGGG